GUCAGAGGGAAGCUCACCACUGAGGUCACAUGCAGGGUGCUUGUCACUCGCUGUUCAAUGCCUCUGGGAAGGUCUGAGACAAGAGCCAUUAGCUGCCCUUGCAGGGCAUCACCUGCUGCAGGUGGAUGAGUUACCAGCUAUUUUGGGCCCUGGGUGUGGGGCAAAUUGGACAAGGAGAAGCUAGAGGAAGCCUCCUAGUGGAUACCCAGCCCCCUCCCAAGGGUUUGGGACAGACUCAUGGCUGGCAGCACUGAGUUCAAAGCGCGAGCACUGUAGUUUGAGUUGCUGAUACUUCAGUGAAAUGUUUAUAUGUC
rnacentral:RNase_P_RNA from 2 species